rnacentral:rRNA from 1 species
UACGUAGGGUGCAAGCGUUGUCCGGAAUUAUUGGGCGUAAAGAGCUCGUAGGCGGUCUGUCGCGUCGGCUGUGAAAUCCCGAGGCUCAACCUCGGGUCUGCAGUCGAUACGGGCAAACUUGAGUGUUGCAGGGGAGACUGGAAUUCCUGGUGUAGCGGUGAAAUGCGCAGAUAUCAGGAGGAACACCGGUGGCGAAGGCGGGUCUCUGGGCAACAACUGACGCUGAGGAGCGAAAGCGUGGGGAGCAAACGGG